ensembl:Mt_tRNA mt-Tc mitochondrially encoded tRNA cysteine
GCCUUAAGGUGAUGGUCAUGUCAAACUGCAAAUUCGGAGGUGUAGAGAAACUACUAUACUAAGGCUU